AGGGCGCCGGAGAGCCUGGAGCAGGGCGCCAGGAGGCCGGAGCAGGAGGAGAAGGAGUAGGAGGAAGUGGUCACUAGCGCGGCGGCCGCCGGCCCGCAAUGGUGCUACCCUGGUUGCUGCUCGAGACUGCGCGCAGGGCGGUCCUCGGGUCCGCGGAGGCUGCGCUCUGCGCCAUGAAAAUGACAGAUGAAAAUAGAAAAGUGUGGCUGGUCUGAAGUGGAUGAAGUAGGUGAAGCUCUACAGAUGAAUCCAAGAGACUUCAAAGAGAAGUACAAUGAAGUAAAACCAUCCAAAUCUGACAGCUAGUGUUUUCUUAUUUAGCCGGAGUGAGAAGCAAGAAGGCCCUGGACACAGCAAUAUCUCUGGGCUUUCACAGAUCCCAGUAUUCCUACCCACUGGGUAGGACACCACUCAAAAUCCUUUCAAAUCCAGUCCUUUCAGGGAACUGCCAGUAAUACAGAAGUGUAAGUAUAACCUAUUUGUCAGCCCUGAUGUAAGAAGGCCAAGAAACAU
rnacentral:lncRNA from 10 species